GUUUCUCGGCAUGGCAACAGUUGUGGAUGCUGCCUGCGUGGCCAGGGCUCCUAGUAGCACUGACCUGCAAGGUAGGAGUUUUGGUUCUUAGACUUGAGACCUUGGGCAAGUCACUUUACCAUUCUGAGCCUCAGUUUCCUCAUCUGUGAAAUGAAGAGGCUGGAUGAGGCUGGAGGGUUCCUAAGGUCCUUUCCUGACCAAAACCCUAGUGCUUCUCGGCUCUCCUCCAGUCCCGUUACCGAGUGACAGGGAGGGGAGCAAGGGCCAGGCCAGGCCUGGGGGUGGCAGGGGAGCCAGCUGUUCCCCCCCAAGGGCACACAGCCUCCAUCCAGGCCCUCUGCGAGUUCCAUGUGCGGCAGACACGCGCUCACACUUCGCAGCCGGAGGAGCAGGCAGGAAGCGCCGCCCCCCGGCCGCCCCGGCCGCCCACCCUCAACCUUCCUCCACGUUACCUUGGGCGUGUAGGCUUCCCGUGGACCUGCCCGCGCCGCCCGCUCGGCUCUCAGCUGUCAAGCAGCCGCCUGCUCCGCCCGACUCUUUCCGCUCCGAGCCGCGCGGGCUGGACCAGCCCCUCAGCGGAGCUGAACGGGAAGCGGCGCCCCCUGGACGCCCUCCGGGACGUGCGCGCGCCAAGCGGUGGGGUCCGGGCCUGCAGGCGCGACCUGAGGCCGCCAGGGAGGCUGGGUGGCGAGGGCGGGGCGGCUGCCGACUUAGCCGGCCUGACUGGUCGGGCUUCCGGGGUCCCGCUGCUCCCUAGGCCCCUUGCCCCGAUUCAGGCUCCCAAGGUGGGGCAUCAGUCCGGCCCUCGCUGGCUCACUGGAGAGGUGGUGUCUGGGAGUGCACCCCCGAAAACCCGGCAGCAGCCCGGCGUCACUCCGGCUGUUACCUCUGGGAGCAGAAACUAAAGGGGAUCCUUAUUCUUUAUACUUUUCUGACUCUUCUAUAUAUUCUACUGUGGGCAUGAAUCGUUAAAAACAAAACAAAACACCAAAAACCCAAUACGUAUUUGUUAAUAAAGCACUGAGUAAAUCUUCAAAGGCCUCCCGAGGUGCUCCGGCUGCAGGAUAACCCCUCAGCUUAGCGCACAAGGCAAGGCCCACCCUGCCCUCUCCGGCCACAACCUAAUUUUCCAGCCUCACCCUCUCUCCCUCACACACACACAACACUUUCGCUCUGGACACACUAGCUGUUGCCAAACACCAGCUGUUCUUCAUGGCUGCUGGGAGUUCUUCUUUUUGCCUGGAACACCCUCCCCUUUCAUCUCUGCCUGUUGAAAUCCUACUCAUCCAUCCAGGCCCCUCUGAAAUGUCACCUUUUUGGAGAACCCUUCCCCAGACACUGCCCCUGCAGAGUGCCCCAGUUCUUUCCUGGCAAGCCCAUCUUUCUGGUACUGGUUUAUGUAGUAGCAUCCCCCUCUCACACGCGCUAAGUCCUAUUCCAAGGUGGAGAGAAACAAAUUAGCACUUACUGAGCAGCUGUUAUAAAUUACUCUGUGGAGUCCUUUCUUCUCCUUGCAGCCCAGCCAGCCACUAGCCCACAACCUCCCUCCACCCUGCCAGAGUUUCAGAAGGCUGUCAGGGGCUCUGAGGCCUGCCCUCUGGUGUGUCCCUACUGCGUGCCUUGGCUUUUCUGGCUCUGUCCUGGGUAUGCUUCCCUGUGUCAACUCCCAAGGUCUGCAAGCUGGUGGCUUGACCUUCUCUCAGCCUUAUGUGAGGAAAGAAGGACAUUUCAUUAUCAGAAUCUGAGAAGUGGAAGGGGCCUCAGAGAUUAUCCAGUGUAAAGCCUGCCCACCCAUUUUACAGAGCAGAAAACUGUGACCAGAGAGAUAAGGUCAGAGGCAUCGGAGGUACCUACCAUUGUUAUUGUUGUUUUUAAUAGUGUUAAUACUUGCACGUUUAGAUCGCCUUUCACUUCUAAAUCAAUGCGUUGUCAUUCAUUUGCCCCUUACAGUCUCAGAGGUAUUACAGUGGUUAGUGCACAGACUCUGGAGGCCAAAGCCCUGGGUUUGAAUCUCAGUGCUCCAACUUGCCAGCUACGUCCUUGGCAAGUUACUGGAACUUUCUCCAUCAGUACAAUGUGGAUAGUAACAGCUCCUGCAUCAUGGGGUGUUCUAUGAAUCGAAAUAAAUGUGUAUCUUUAAAGGGCUUAGAAUAGUAGUAGGUUCAUUAAAAAUGCCAAAUGUAUUUGCUCUUAUCAAAUUUUUGUUAUUGUUAAUUGUAUCACUUCACAGUUGGAAUAACAGAGGCUCAGAAAGGCUGAGACUCAUCCAAAAAAUUGCUGCUUUGAGGAUGGUUUCUCACCAAACUCCAUGCAGUCAUCUUUGUCUCUGAUGCCAUUCUGCUUCCUGUUCCCUUGUGUCUGAGUCUAACCACCUAUUUAAUAGGGAAGAAAAGCAACUGUCCUUUAGCCCACCUCAGAACACCUAGACAUUUCAUGUUGCAAACAUUAACCACAUCUUCUGGCUUCUAUGGGGAUGUCUCUAAUUUGCUGGCGUUUUCUUUAACAGAACACCACGCCUCAUGGUGCCCUUCAGAAUCACAGAGCCAUCACAUUAACUGCUGCAAGUUCAGCUUGUACAUUCGUGCCUCUUUUACUCUUGGCCCGUGGCAGAAAAGCGACAGGGAAAAGAUGGUUCUUCCAAUGUAUGGAUGUAGGAAACUGAGGCACAGUUGAUACUCACUGAUUGGCCCCAGGCUAUGGAGCUAGCCUGGACCAUGGGAAGGAUGAGGAUCUCCACCUCCUCUUUCCCCAUGAUUACAUGAUUCAGUGUUGCAGGAGAAACCCAAACUCGUUUAUUCAAUGAGGAUUUAUUGAGCUCUCUCUAGGUGACGAAUAAGACCGAGGCAAGGCUGGCUUCCUGGGCAUAUGACCUAUGAAGUCACAUAGGCCAGAGGUCCCCAACCUUUUUGGAACCAGGAACCUGUUUCGUGGAAGACAAUUUUUCCAUGGACCAGGGGUGGGAGUGGGGGGUGGGAAUGGUUUCAGGAUAAAACUGUUCCACCUCAGAUCAUCAGGCAUUAGUUAGAUUCUCAUAAGGAGUGUGCAAACUAGAUCCCUCACAUGCACAGUUCUCAAUAGGGUUCACGGACCAGUACCCCAUUACCGGUUUGUGGCCUGGGGUUGGGGACCCCUGACAUAGGCCACUCACUUAGAAGGGCUUCAUACAGAGUUUAAUGCUGUCCUGCCACCUUCUUGAAAUCUUAACAAUUUUUGAACAAGGGGCCAUAUAAGUUGUAUUUUACACUGGACCAUUCAAGUUGUACAGCUGGUCUGGACCUAGGCUCUUCCCUAGGAGCUCUGUUUCACAGGGAAUCAGCCAGGGAGUUGACAACUGCAGUUCAGUACGAUGGGGGUUGUGACAGAAGCAGGGUAGCCGUGAAAGAAGAACAGGACCUUGGCCAGUAUUCAGCUCACUUGGGUCAUCCUCCCCAGCUGUGCAACCUGCCCAGCUGCCAAUGACUUACCACUGUGCUCCUUGGUGGGAGGAUGGCCUUGGUUUAGCACCAGGGCCUGUAGCCCCAGACAGCAGCUGCAAACCCUGCCACCCUAAGAGGCCACUGCUAGGUCAUGUCAACACCAGGAAAUGUGUGUCAUUGGAGCCCUAAGCUGUUCUCAUGUCCUCCAACCCAGGACUCAUGUCCCUGAUCUCAUGUCCCCGAUCACCAGACUGCCAGUGGACUCUACUUUCUGCUGCCUGCCCAGACCCAGUCAACUUCCAGAAAAGGGCACAUAAAGUGAUCCACACUGAAAAGCAAUUGGCAGACAAAACCUAAUGGGCUAUUCAUCCAAAGGAAACUUGGGUUUUAUUAGGGGUAUCUGGUGUCCUCCUGGCCUGCAUUCUGACAUAUAAUAAGCAUCUAAGUCAUGACAAUUGAGUGAACAUACAAAAGGUAAAUACAUAUGGCAAAGCCUAGAAUUGGAAUUGGCAGUUUGAAGGCCAUUGGCCCAAGAACAGGGUAUUUUCGGUUGUGUUCUCUUUUCUUUCUUUUUUUUGGAUGAGUGCUGGAAGCCCCAACACAAUUGUUUGGGAAUAAAUGGAAGUGAGGAAUGGAGAAGUAAGGAGGUACCACUCUCAAGGAGGCUGUCAGUAGAGGGGACAAAGAGUGUGAGAGAGGAACAGAAGAACCAAGCAGGAGACUGGAAGAGGGAUUUACAAAUCUGGAGUCCUUCCAAAACAGGACAAGUAAGACAUGAGCAGUGACUUUCUACUCUCCAUCCAGCAGCCAACAAUAGACUUCGUCAUUCAGAUGGAGCUGCAGAGGUACAGACCUGAGAGAGCUGGAAGUCAUAGAGCCAAUCCCAUGUAUUACUGACGAGGUAACUAUGGCUCAGGGUGACUUGACCUGUAAGCCACAAGCUUGUGGGUGACCACUCCAGGCCCUGAAUGGAGGAUUUCACUCCAUCCCCCUGCCCCACAAGUGGCCUCUGAGAGACAGAGUACCUGAUGCCACCUUAUGUGGGAUAUUGUUUUUGCUGUCACGAAUUUCUGAAUCCCCUCUUUGUGGAAUAGAGAAAUCAAAGCCACCAUACGUUCAAGGGUAUCCACUAAAGAAGCCACAUGGUUACUUCAGCUAAAAAUAAAUUAAAGACCUAACAAUGAAUUAUCAUUUAUCUAAUCAUCUGGGAAUGAUGAAAUUAAUGUUUCGUAUCUACUAUUUUACAGUUAUAAAUUGCUUAGAAAGUAUAGAUAUUUUUCCCUCAUAAUUCUGCUUUCCCAUGAGUGCACAUGCAUACACACAAGACCCAACCACAGUAUCUUGACCGUGAAUAUAAUAAAUAAGGAAAUAACAAAUGUAGUAAGGUGAAGGAGGGGGUUCUGUCAGCCCAAGAAUGUUCUAGGCCUAGUGUUUGGUGGAGCCAACCAGCUCCUACAAGCCAGCGAAAACAAAGAAAAGUGCCUGGCCAUUUCAUUACAGAGUGCUUCCCAAUAAUCUAAUUCCUCCACCAUCAAAAUUUGGUCAGGGAACAUCACCAUUUUUAGAGAGAUGCUUUGUUUUGAUAAAACAACCCUUCUGUAUUAGUCUCUUCUCAUGCUGCUGAUCAAGACUUACCUGAGACUGGGUAAUUUAUAAACGAAAAGAGGUUUAGUGGACUCACAGUUCCAUGUGGCUGGGGAGGCCUCACAAUCAUGGUGGAGGGCAAAAGGCACGUCUUAUAUGGUGGCAGACAAGAGAGAGCUUGGGCAGGGAAACUCCCCUUUAUCAAACCAUCAAAUCUCGUGAGACUUAUUCACUAUCACAAGAACAGCACAGGAAAGACCCACCCCUAUGAUUCAAUUACCUCCCACCAGGUCCCUCCCAUGACAAAUGGGAAUUGUGGGAGCUACAAUUCAAGAGGAGAUUUGAGUGGGGACACAGCCAAACUAUAUCACCUUCUAAGCUUAUGUCUCACUAUUCACCCACAAAUAGGCUGUAAAGAGCCCAGCAUUUGCUUUCUAGCAAUGGUGUCAUACCAGCUUUGCUUUCCCUGCCUGCAGGGCCCUCCAUGCAUCUCUGUUUAAAGUCUAAAGCCAGAUCCAGCUUUCAUGCUGCCUACUGCAGAAAGACACCUCUGGUGUUUCUCAACCAGAGGAGCCUCCCCACCUCUCAAUUCCGGACCACUUCUCUUAAAAACAUGACCAAUGAUGCCAAAAGUCUAAUUUAUGUGUAGAGUUGGUGUUGCAGAGUAGAAGGGGAUUGAGAGGUUGAGACUAAAUAACUACUCAGCUUUGAACAUGUCAGGAAGUUUAUCUGUUCUUCGGCUUCCUAAUCUGUAAAAUGUAGUUAGGGACAGGAUCUACCUGAUGAGGUUGUUGUGAGACGUAAAUGAAAUAAUUCACAUAAAAAGCAACUAGUACAGUGCCUGGUACAUAGUCAAGGCUUACAGUGUCAG
rnacentral:lncRNA from 1 species